GACGAACGCUGGCGGCGUGCUUAACACAUGCAAGUCGAACGGAAAGGCCCUGCUUUUGUGGGGUGCUCGAGUGGCGAACGGGUGAGUAACACGUGAGUAACCUGCCCUUGACUUUGGGAUAACUUCAGGAAACUGGGGCUAAUACCGGAUAGGAGCUCCUGCUGCAUGGUGGGGGUUGGAAAGUUUCGGCGGUUGGGGAUGGACUCGCGGCUUAUCAGCUUGUUGGUGGGGUAGUGGCUUACCAAGGCUUUGACGGGUAGCCGGCCUGGGAGGGUGACCGGCCCCAUUGGGACUGAGAUACGGCCCAGACUCCUACGGGAGGCAGCAGUGGGGAAUAGUGCACAAUGGGAGGAAGCCUGAUGCAGCAACGCCGCGUGCGGGAUGACGGCAUUCGGGUUGUAAACCGCUUUCGCCUGUGACGAAGCGAGAGUGACGGUAAUGGGUAAAGAAGCACCGGCUAACUACGUG
rnacentral:rRNA from 1 species